ACCCAGUCUACCCUGCCUGCACUCUCUUCUUCACCUCUCUACCACACUAUCCAUUACUUUGGACAACUGACCCCAAGUAUUCAAACUAAUCUACUUUCACCACUUCUACUCCUUGCAACUAUUCCACUGUGAACCCUCUCAUUCACACACAUGUACUCAGUCUUGCUCCUACUGACUUUUAUUCUCCUGCUCUCCAGAAAAUAGCUCCACCGUUCCAGGCUAGACUCAACCUGCUCUCUACUCUCACUACAGAUCACAAUAAAAUAUAUAUUAAAUGGACUGCAUUUAUAUAGUGCUUUUCCAUCU